AUAGUUUCUGUGAAUAUACUUUUCAGGAAGUUAACUUGUUGGAAAAGAAAAUUGUCAAAGCAUCCAGAAUCUGAUGUGUUGUGUUUUGCCUGCAAGAAUUCAUGCCAGCAUCCCAUACCUCAGAAGUAAGCCGAGGCAUCUGAGUACCCAGCUCCUGCAGCAUCCUACUGCUCAAGUCACACCCUUGGUAUCAACAGGAUGACGUGCACAACAUGUCCAACAUAAA